GAAGAGGUCUGGAAAGGCCCGCCAUAGGAGGUAACAGCCCUGUAGUCAAAACUUCGUUCUCUCCUGAGUGGAUCCUGAGUACGGCGGAACACGUGAAAUUCCGUCGGAAUCCGGGAGGACCAUCUCCCAAGGCUAAAUACUCCCUAGUGACCGAUAGUGAACCAGUACCGUGAGGGAAAGGUGAAAAGCACCCCGGAAGGGGAGUGAAAGAGAUCCUGAAACCGUGUGCCUACAAGUAGUCAGAGCCCGUUAACGGGUGAUGGCGUGCCUUUUGUAGAAUGAACCGGCGAGUUACGAUCCCGUGCAAGGUUAAGCAGAAGAUGCGGAGCCGCAGCGAAAGCGAGUCUGAAUAGGGCGAAUUGAGUACGUGGUCGUAGACCCGAAACCAGGUGAUCUACCCAUGUCCAGGGUGAAGUUCAGGUAACACUGAAUGGAGGCCCGAACCCACGCACGUUGAAAAGUGCGGGGAUGAGGUGUGGGUAGGGGUGAAAUGCCAAUCGAACCUGGAGAUAGCUGGUUCUCUCCGAAAUAGCUUUAGGGCUAGCCUCAAGGUAAGAGUCUCGGAGGUAGAGCACUGAUUGGACUAGGGGCCCCUACCGGGUUACCGAAUUCAGUCAAACUCCGAAUGCCGAUGACUUAUCCUUGGGAGUCAGACUGCGAGUGAUAAGAUCCGUAGUCGAAAGGGAAACAGCCCAGACCGCCAGCUAAGGUCCCAAAGUAUACGUUAAGUGGAAAAGGAUGUGGAGUUGCUUAGACAACCAGGAUGUUGGCUUAGAAGCAGCCACCAUUUAAAGAGUGCGUAAUAGCUCACUGGUCGAGUGACUCUGCGCCGAAAAUGUACCGGGGCUAAACGUAUCACCGAAGCUGCGGACUGUUCUUCGAACAGUGGUAGGAGAGCGUUCUAAGGGCUGUGAAGCAAGACCGGAAGGACUUGUGGAGCGCUUAGAAGUGAGAAUGCCGGUAUGAGUAGCGAAAGAGGGGUGAGAAUCCCCUCCACCGAAUGCCUAAGGUUUCCUGAGGAAGGCUCGUCCGCUCAGGGUUAGUCGGGACCUAAGCCGAGGCCGAAAGGCGUAGGCGAUGGAUAACAGGUUGAUAUUCCUGUACCACCUCCUCACCAUUUGAGCAAUGGGGGGACGCAGGAGGAUAGGGUAAGCGCGGUAUUGGAUAUCCGCGUCCAAGCA
rnacentral:rRNA from 1 species